UACGUAGGUGGCAAGCGUUGUCCGGAUUUACUGGGCGUAAAGAGCGCGCAGGCGGUCGUUCAAGUCGCGUGUGAAAGCCCCCGGCUCAACUGGGGAGGGUCACGCGAUACUGAUCGACUCGAAGGCAGGAGAGGGUAGUGGAAUUCCCGGUGUAGUGGUGAAAUGCGUAGAUAUCGGGAGGAACACCAGUGGCGAAGGCGGCUACCUGGGCUGUUUAUUGACGCUGAGGCGCGAAAGCUAGGGGAGCAAACGGG
rnacentral:rRNA from 1 species